rnacentral:rRNA from 1 species
UACGGAGGGAGCUAGCGUUGUUCGGAAUUACUGGGCGUAAAGCGCGCGUAGGCGGCUUUGUAAGUUAGAGGUGAAAGCCCGGGGCUCAACCCCGGAACUGCCUUUAAGACUGCAUCGCUUGAAUCCAGGAGAGGUGAGUGGAAUUCCGAGUGUAGAGGUGAAAUUCGUAGAUAUGCGGAGGAACACCGGUGGCGAAGGCGGGUCUCUGGGCAUUUCCUGACGCUGAGGCGCGAAAGCGUGGGGAGCAAACAGG